AAUUCGAUGCAACGCGAAGAACCUUACCUGGGCUUGACAUCCCGAGAAUUCCCCUGGAAACAGGGAAGUGCCCUCACGGGAACUCGGAGACAGGUGCUGCAUGGCUGUCGUCAGCUCGUGUCGUGAGAUGUUGGGUUAAGUCCCGCAACGAGCGCAACCCUUGUCUUUAAUUGCCAUCAUUCAGUUGGGCACUUUAAAGAGACUGCCGGUGUUAAACCGGAGGAAGGUGGGGAUGACGUCAAGUCCUCACGGCCUUUAUGCCCAGGGCUACACACGUGCUACAAUGGGUGGUACAAAGAGAAGCAAACUCGCGAGAGCAAGCCAAUCUCAAAAAGCCAUCCUCAGUUCGGAUUGGAGUCUGCAACUCGACCCCAUGAAGUCGGAAUCGCUAGUAAUCGCGGAUCAGCAUGCCCGCGGUCGAAUACGUUCCGGGCCUU
rnacentral:rRNA from 1 species